AGAGGUCUAGCCUGCCCAGUGACUAAAAUUCAACGGCCGCGGUACCCUGACCGCGCGAAGGUAGCGUAAUCACUUGUUUUUUAAAUAAAGACUAGUAUGAAUGGCAUCACGAGGAUCAAACUGUCUCCUUUACAUAAUCAGUGAAACUAAUCCCCCCGUGAAAAAGCAGGGAUUAAACUACAAGACGAAAAGACCCUAUGGAGCUUCAAAUACAUAACUAUGCCCCCCCCCGCACUAGUUAUAAAUUUUAGGUUGGGGUGACCGCGGAGAAAAACACAUCCUCCAUAACGAAUAAGUUUACUUUAAACAAAAAGUCACAACUUCAUGUAUCAACAAAUUGACAUGCUGAUCCAAUAAUCUGAUCAACGAACCAAGUUACCCUAGGGAUAACAGCGCAAUCCACUUUAAGAGUUCAUAUCGACAAGUGGGCUUACGACCUCGAUGUUGGAUCAGGGUAUCCCAGUGGUGCAGCCGCUACUAAAG
rnacentral:rRNA from 1 species